rnacentral:rRNA from 1 species
GACGAACGCUGGCGGCGUGCUUAACACAUGCAAGUCGAACGGAAAGGCCCUGCUUUUGUGGGGUGCUCGAGUGGCGAACGGGUGAGUAACACGUGAGUAACCUGCCCUUGACUUUGGGAUAACUUCAGGAAACUGGGGCUAAUACCGGAUAGGAGCUCCUGCUGCAUGGUGGGGGUUGGAAAGUUUCGGCGGUUGGGGAUGGACUCGCGGCUUAUCAGCUUGUUGGUGGGGUAGUGGCUUACCAAGGCUUUGACGGGUAGCCGGCCUGAGAGGGUGACCGGCGACAUUGGGACUGAGAUAGGGCCCAGACUCCUACGGGAGGCAGAAGUGGGGAGUAUGGCACAAUGGGCGGAAGCCUGAUGCAGCAACGCCGCGGGCGGGAUGACGGCCUUCGGGUUGUAAACCGCUUUCGCCUGUGACGAAGCGUGAGUGACGGUAAUGGGUAAAGAAGCACCGGCUAACUACGUG